rnacentral:lncRNA from 1 species
CUUCCCCUUUCCUUUGCAGCUAAGGGGAUUGUGCCAUGUCUAGCGAGCACGGCAGUGGGUCUCCAGCACUGCCUCACUAACACACCCCAGUCCUGACCACAGCCUUCCUGCCUGCACGAGCUUUGCUCUCCCAUCACUGCCAAAUUGCAGGUAUCUUCCUCAGGGUGCAGGGCAGCAUCAAGGAAUUGAUCCCAUUUGUCAGGUUUUCACAGCAGCAAACACAAAACAACAGUCUCGUUUUCCUAUGCUUCCAUGUAGAAGCUACUUAGGGCAGCGAGGCAAACUGUCAGCAUUACAGGUAAAUCAAGCCAAUAAUAUUGUAGCAAUACAUAGGCUGGCAGCAGUCAAAGAAGAGUUAGAGGAAAAAGUAUUAUAUUUCAGUUCUGUUCUUACCUUUCUUCUCAACUUGCAUUAAGGCAUUAGCAAUGUGAGAAAACUGAAAAAGGAGUUGUGGAAAUGGCAGGAAAUCAUGGAUCCAGUGACAGAGAACUCAUUGCCCUCCCUAGACGUGAAAAAAAUGAGACAACUGAGUCAGAAUGGACUGAGAGCUCCCACUUCAUCCUCUUGGUACCUAAAUCUCUUCUAGUGAAAGUGCAAAGCCACUGGUCAGCUUCAGCCACACCAAACCAAGAGGUAAAUGUCUAACAGCUGCUGAGCUCAUGUGCGUCUUCCAGGAAAGCAGGCAGCGAAGGAGAGGCUGGAUCCAUUGCCACCCAAAGGAAAGGAUGGAGCACGAGCUUCACCUGCAUUAGACUGCAGCAAAUGGUAAGGAGCUGCUAUCAAUGCUCUGCCCACAUGGGGACUAAACCUGACUGAACCUCAGCUGUUUCUAGACAUCAA